rnacentral:rRNA from 1 species
AUACGGAGGGUGCGAGCGUUAAUCGGAAUUACUGGGCGUAAAGGGUCCGUAGGCGGUCUGCUUAGUCUGAUGUGAAAGCCCCGGGCUUAACCUGGGAAUGGCAUUGGAUACUGGCGGACUAGAGUCUGGUAGAGGGUGGUGGAAUUCUCGGUGUAGCGGUGAAAUGCGUAGAUAUCGGGAGGAACACCAGUGGCGAAGGCGGCCACCUGGACCAAGACUGACGCUGAGGGACGAAAGCGUGGGGAGCAAACAGGAUUAGAUACCCUAGUAGUCC